rnacentral:rRNA from 1 species
UGUUACAAUGGCAGGUACANAGGGGUGCUACCGGGUGACCGGAUGCCGAUCUCGAAAACCUGUCCCAGUUCGGACUGGAGUCUGCAACCCGACUCCACGAAGUUGGAUUCGCUAGUAAUCGCGCAUCAGCCAUGGCGCGGUGAAUACGUUCCCGGGCCUUGUACACACCGCCCGUCAAGCCAUGGGAGCCGGGGGCGCCUGAAGUCCGGGACCGCGAGGACCGGCCUAGGGCGAAACUGGUGACUGGGGCUAAGUCGUAACAAGGUACC